AUUGUCUCCACCCUCUGCAUGGAGUCACUGAACUUUCCUCAUAGAGGAAAUUCAAUGCAUAUAUAUGAGGAGAUGCCGAUUGGCUAGGGCUGUGAUUGGCUCGUGCUGGCUCUGCCCCUGAUCUGCCUCCUUGACAAUCACAGCCAAUCCAGUGCUUUCCUAUGGGAAAGCAUUGUAGUUGGCUGGGAUCACCACUUCUGAUUAUGUUAG